UAUUCUUUAAUACAUUCAUUCAUUCAUGUAUUUAUUCUUUAAUACAUUCAUUCAUUCAUUUAUUUAUUUUUUUAUUUUAUUUCAUUUUCAGGACACAUUUCCAUAGAGCCUUAUUAAGUGUUAAGUUAACUCACUUUACUUUGGUGUUUGCACUAAUUAUGUUUACACUUUCUAUUUUUAAUGCGGUCUAUACAGUAAUAACAUCUGCUAAAAAGAAAAGAAGAGAAUCUGAAUUACAAUUAUUAGUUUUUGUUGUGUUCAAUCUUGUACAAUAUUAUUUCUACACUUCAACAUUAACAUUCAGAAAUGAACCUUUGUGUGCCUUAAUAAUAGCUUUAUACUCAUCCUUUUAUACAUGCCACAUGAAUCUUGCUACAAUUUUAAAGAUAAAAAUGAAUUACCUUCCAAUACCUAUAAUAGCUUAUUAUGUUUUUAAUACACUUUUAUUUAUAAUUCGAAAAACAAACCACAAAAUGUUUAAACAUUUUCUAUUGAGUGAAAAUUAUAUAUUAUAUUACAUGUUAGGAUUUGGUUUAAUUUAUUUAAUUGACUAUUCAUAUACCAUAAUAACAAACAUUUGUAGAGAAUUAAACAUUACCUUUUUGUUUAAUAAGAGUAAAAGAGGUUAA
rnacentral:lncRNA from 1 species